GACUACUGGGGUAUCUAAUCCUGUUCGCUACCCACGCUUUCGUGCCUCAGCGUCAAUCAAGGUCCAGUCAGCUGCCUUCGCAAUCGGUAUUCCAUGGCAUAUCUAUGCAUUUCACCGCUACAUGCCACAUUCCGCCAACCUCAACCUGAUUCAAGUCUAACAGUAUCAAUGGCAGUCCCAUCGUUAAGCGACGGCCUUUCACCACUGACUUAUUAAACAGCCUACGCACCCUUUAAACCCAGUGAUUCCGGAUAACGCUUGCACCCUCCGUAUUACCGCGGCUGCUGGCACGGAGUUAGCCGGUGCUUAUUCUUAUGGUACCGUCAGUCGAGGAUAAAUCCCCUUUUUUCGCCCCAUACAAAAGAAGUUUACAAGGCAGAGCCCCUUCAUCCUUCACGCGGGAUGGCUGGUUCACCCUUCCGGGCAUUGACCAAUAUUCCUUACUGCAGCCCCCCGUAGG
rnacentral:rRNA from 1 species